UGUUCCUAGGGACGCAGCAGUGAGGAAUAUUGGUCAAUGGACGAGAGUCUGAACCAGCCAAGUAGCGUGAAGGAUGACUGCCCUAUGGGUUGUAAACUUCUUUUAUAUGGGAAUAAAACGUUCCACGUGUGGGAUUUUGUAUGUACCAUAUGAAUAAGGAUCGGCUAACUCCGUGCCAGCAGCCGCGGUAAUACGGAGGAUCCGAGCGUUAUCCGGAUUUAUUGGGUUUAAAGGGAGCGUAGGUGGAUUGUUAAGUCAGUUGUGAAAGUUUGCGGCUCAAUCGUAAAAUUGCAGUUGAAACUGGC
rnacentral:rRNA from 1 species